GGUUAAGCGACUAAGCGUACACGGUGGAUGCCCUGGCAGUCAGAGGCGAUGAAGGACGUGCUAAUCUGCGAAAAGCGCCGGCGAGGUGAUAUGAACCUUUGACCCGGCGAUGUCCGAAUGGGGAAACCCAGUGUGAUUCGUCACACUAUCGUUAACUGAAUACAUAGGUUAACGAGGCGAACCGGGGGAACUGAAACAUCUAAGUACCCCGAGGAAAAGAAAUCAACCGAGAUUCCCCCAGUAGCGGCGAGCGAACGGGGAGCAGCCCAGAGUCUGAAUCAGCUUGUGUGUUAGUGGAAGCGUCUGGAAAGUCGCACGGUACAGGGUGACAGUCCCGUACACGAAAGCACACAGGCUGUGAACUCGAAGAGUAGGGCGGGACACGUAGUAUCCUGUCUGAAUAUGGGGGGACCAUCCUCCAAGGCUAAAUACUCCUGACUGACCGAUAGUGAACCAGUACCGUGAGGGAAAGGCGAAAAGAACCCCGGCGAGGGGAGUGAAAUAGAACCUGAAACCGUGUACGUACAAGCAGUGGGAGCACCUUCGUGGUGUGACUGCGUACCUUUUGUAUAAUGGGUCAGCGACUUAUAUUCUGUAGCAAGGUUAACCGUAUAGGGGAGCCGAAGGGAAACCGAGUCUUAACUGGGCGUUAAGUUGCAGGGUAUAGACCCGAAACCCGGUGAUCUAGCCAUGGGCAGGUUGAAGGUUGGGUAACACUAACUGGAGGACCGAACCGACUAAUGUUGAAAAAUUAGCGGAUGACUUGUGGCUGGGGGUGAAAGGCCAAUCAAACCGGGAGAUAGCUGGUUCUCCCCGAAAGCUAUUUAGGUAGCGCCUCGUGAACUCAUCUUCGGGGGUAGAGCACUGUUUCGGCUAGGGGGCCAUCCCGGCUUACCAACCCGAUGCAAACUACGAAUACCGAAGAAUGUUAUCACGGGAGACACACGGCGGGUGCUAACGUUCGUCGUGAAGAGGGAAACAACCCAGACCGCCAGCUAAGGUCCCAAAGUCAUGGUUAAGUGGGAAACGAUGUGGGAAGGCACAGACAGCCAGGAUGUUGGCUUAGAAGCAGCCAUCAUUUAAAGAAAGCGUAAUAGCUCACUGGUCGAGUCGGCCUGCGCGGAAGAUGUAACGGGGCUAAACCAUGCACCGAAGCUGCGGCAGCGACGCGUAUGCGUUGUUGGGUAGGGGAGCGUUCUGUAAGCCGUUGAAGGUGGCCUGUGAGGGUUGCUGGAGGUAUCAGAAGUGCGAAUGCUGACAUAAGUAACGAUAAAGCGGGUGAAAAGCCCGCUCGCCGGAAGACCAAGGGUUCCUGUCCAACGUUAAUCGGGGCAGGGUGAGUCGACCCCUAAGGCGAGGCCGAAAGGCGUAGUCGAUGGGAAACAGGUUAAUAUUCCUGUACUUGGUGUUACUGCGAAGGGGGGACGGAGAAGGCUAUGUUAGCCGGGCGACGGUUGUCCCGGUUUAAGCAUGUAGGCGGAGGUUCCAGGUAAAUCCGGUACCUUUUAACGCUGAGGUGUGAUGACGAGGCACUACGGUGCUGAAGUAACAAAUGCCCUGCUUCCAGGAAAAGCCUCUAAGCAUCAGGUAACAUCAAAUCGUACCCCAAACCGACACAGGUGGUCAGGUAGAGAAUACCAAGGCGCUUGAGAGAACUCGGGUGAAGGAACUAGGCAAAAUGGUGCCGUAACUUCGGGAGAAGGCACGCUGAUAUGUAGGUGAAGCCCCUGCGGGUGGAGCUGAAAUCAGUCGAAGAUACCAGCUGGCUGCAACUGUUUAUUAAAAACACAGCACUGUGCAAACACGAAAGUGGACGUAUACGGUGUGACGCCUGCCCGGUGCCGGAAGGUUAAUUGAUGGGGUUAGCGGUAACGCGAAGCUCUUGAUCGAAGCCCCGGUAAACGGCGGCCGUAACUAUAACGGUCCUAAGGUAGCGAAAUUCCUUGUCGGGUAAGUUCCGACCUGCACGAAUGGCGUAAUGAUGGCCAGGCUGUCUCCACCCGAGACUCAGUGAAAUUGAACUCGCUGUGAAGAUGCAGUGUACCCGCGGCAAGACGGAAAGACCCCGUGAACCUUUACUAUAGCUUGACACUGAACACUGGUCCUUGAUGUGUAGGAUAGGUGGGAGGCUUUGAAGUGUGGACGCCAGUCUGCGUGGAGCCGUCCUUGAAAUACCACCCUUUAAUGGCUGGUGUUCUAACGUAGACCCGUGAUCCGGGUUGCGGACAGUGUCUGGUGGGUAGUUUGACUGGGGCGGUCUCCUCCCAAAGAGUAACGGAGGAGCACGAAGGUUAGCUAAUCCUGGUCGGACAUCAGGAGGUUAGUGCAAUGGCAUAAGCUAGCUUGACUGCGAGAGUGACGGCUCGAGCAGGUGCGAAAGCAGGUCAUAGUGAUCCGGUGGUUCUGAAUGGAAGGGCCAUCGCUCAACGGAUAAAAGGUACUCCGGGGAUAACAGGCUGAUACCGCCCAAGAGUUCAUAUCGACGGCGGUGUUUGGCACCUCGAUGUCGGCUCAUCACAUCCUGGGGCUGAAGUAGGUCCCAAGGGUAUGGCUGUUCGCCAUUUAAAGUGGUACGCGAGCUGGGUUUAGAACGUCGUGAGACAGUUCGGUCCCUAUCUGCCGUGGGCGCUGGAGAAUUGAGGGGGGCUGCUCCUAGUACGAGAGGACCGGAGUGGACGCAUCACUGGUGUUCGGGUUGUCAUGCCAAUGGCACUGCCCGGUAGCUAAAUGCGGAAAAGAUAAGUGCUGAAAGCAUCUAAGCACGAAACUUGCCCCGAGAUGAGUUCUCCCUGAGACUUUAAGUCUCCUGAAGGAACGUUGAAGACGACGACGUUGAUAGGUCGGGUGUGUAAGCGCAGCGAUGCGUUGAGCUAACCGAUACUAAUGAACCGUGAGGCUUAACCUU
rnacentral:rRNA from 1 species